rnacentral:lncRNA from 1 species
AAUGAACUCGCCUGUUUGCGCUCCCCUGGCCCCUCUCUCCUCCCACCGCCCGGGGGGCACUGUAUAUAUCCGCCUCUCCUUGCCCGCCUCGAGCACUUUGGGGGCUCCCCCCUGCUGCCCCCCUCUCCCGCCGGGGAUGGAGCGAGGAGUGAAGAGGACGGGGCCGGCUCUCCCCGCCGCCCGCUCCAGUGCCCACCUGCGGCACCCUGUGCUCCUGCACCUCCUGCACCUCCUGCAGCUGGCGGGGGGGGCACCCCUGGGCCCGGCGCUGUACCCCAUGCCGCCCGGCGUCCUGCAAGUUCAGUGCCUGCCUCGGCAACGGGGCAUGGGGAUGGGGGCAACUUUGCGGGAGGGUUUUGGCUGCCAAGGAGGGGGUGAGGCUGUGGGAACCAGGACUUUUGGCUUCUCUCUCCAGGGAGGAGUGAGCAAGUAGGACGCCUGGGUCCCUGUCCUGGGACAGGACAAGUCUCCCCAACCCCCGGGGCCUGGGGUUGGUGGCAAGUGCUGCCCGGGGAACAUGCGAGGGAAACUGAGGUUGCAGCAGGGGAUGCAGGGUUUGUGCCCUGCAGCCAGUGAGCUCUUCCUCCUGUCCCGUGUACCUGCAGCAGCCCCACGAGCUCCUCUGCCAGGGGGCACCGGGAGCUAUACAGUGGCUAUGGGAGGGGGGGGAGCAGCAGGCACAGGCGUGGGCGUGCACACGCAUGGGCAUGCAGACAUGUGCGCACGCACACGGGUGCACACGGGCAUGCACGCAGGCAUGGGCACACCUGCCUGGCACACACACCACUGCAUGCCCGUGUUCGCACACGUGUGUGCUCACAAGGGCUACAUGUGCAGCAGGGCACACAUGGGCGCUGGGAAACACCUUCCCUGUGCCACCCCAUCUGCCACCCCAUGUGCCAGGGAUAGACCCCAGGUGUCAGGGUGCCCAUCACCCCAAGCAGUGCCGACGGGGUGCUGGAGUCUGUGCUGGGGCUGCACUGGGCUCUCCCCAGCCUGGCACCCGCUGCGGAGGUGCCCGCUGCAGCAGGUGCCCAGGGCAGGUCAGCACAGAGCAAGGGGCACGGGCGCCGGUGGGCGCUCUGCAGUGCUGGGGGUCUGAGCGCCCUGCCAUGCACUCUCCAGCGCUGUCAAGCCGGGGGACGCUGGUGCUGGAGGCAGCGCUGAGGAGUGCCCUGUUGGCUCUGGAGGGGGCCCUGGCCGAGCACCAGCGGCAGCGGGGUGCCUGUGGGCUCUGUGCCCCCUGCCUCUUCCCGCCCUGUGCCAACAUCACUCACCGCUGCCCACCGCCGGCUGUGCCUCCCACCAUGCCCCCCAGCUGCCAGGCCCUGCUCGAUGCCCAGGCGCUGCCCGAGCUGCCCCAGCGCAACUGGGCGCUGAGCCAA